GAAAAACUCAGAAGCACCCAGAUGUCUUGGCUGGACAGGAAUGGUCUGGAACACCCAGAGAAAAUGAGAGAGAACAGAAUACAUUUUGACAGGAGAGAACCUUGCUGAGUUCUGGGAUUUUGAAAUUGGAGGGAGGCGGUAUUCACUUAUGAGCUGGCAAAGUACAACCUCC
rnacentral:lncRNA from 1 species